AGUGAACGCUGGCGGUAGGCCUAACACAUGCAAGUCGAACGGCAGCACAGUAAGAGCUUGCUCUUACGGGUGGCGAGUGGCGGACGGGUGAGGAAUACAUCGGAAUCUACUUUUUCGUGGGGGAUAACGUAGGGAAACUUACGCUAAUACCGCAUACGACCUACGGGUGAAAGCAGGGGAUCUUCGGACCUUGCGCGAUUGAAUGAGCCGAUGUCGGAUUAGCUAGUUGGCGGGGUAAAGGCCCACCAAGGCGACGAUCCGUAGCUGGUCUGAGAGGAUGAUCAGCCACACUGGAACUGAGACACGGUCCAGACUCCUACGGGAGGCAGCAGUGGGGAAUAUUGGACAAUGGGCGCAAGCCUGAUCCAGCCAUACCGCGUGGGUGAAGAAGGCCUUCGGGUUGUAAAGCCCUUUUGUUGGGAAAGAACAGCAGCAGGUUAAUACCCCGCUGUUCUGACGGUACCCAAAGAAUAAGCACCGGCUAACUUCGUG
rnacentral:rRNA from 1 species